rnacentral:misc_RNA from 1 species
AAAAAAAAAAAAAAAAGGAUUCAAUAGCAUCCACUUGGAAGGCCCAAAAGCACUAGCACAUAAGAGGCUAAGAAAACUUUCUUAGUCCAUACCUUUUUGAUGAAAUUAGACAAAUUUAAGAUGUUAAACAUCAGGAAGACAUAUCUAAAGUAGAUUUUGACUGUGAAUUGCAAGUCAUGAGUACCUAGCAGGCAUGGAAAUAAAUCCAGCAGAGUACAAAUCUAAGAAUUUAUUUGCAGUUCAAAAUACACAUGCAAGCAUGCAUGUGUGUGUGUGUGUGAAAGAGAGAGA